rfam:Actinobacillus pleuropneumoniae L20 serotype 5b complete genome.
CAUAUGGUACUUAUCAGCGGAUAUACAAAUGUAUAACAAGGUAAGUGGCGAUAUGGCUUCAUUAGAGGU